rnacentral:lncRNA from 1 species
UUUAGGAAGAAAGGAAGAAAGAACGUACGCACGCGAAGCGCUAAAAGAAGGGAAAUGUACUCACUGGACGCAGCCUGGCGAUCCAAGCCCGGCACUGCGCUCACAGAAGGCUGAGGCAAAGAAACAGCAGUUCCAGCAUCCACAGAAGACAUCAGCUGUGAUCCAGGCGCCACCUGCUGGACGGAUCCAUGAACUGCAGCAGCAUG